rnacentral:tRNA from 1 species
GAGGAAAAUCCGUCACUUAAAAUCGGAGGGUUCAAGUCCCUCUAUCCCC